GUCUCACGCCUGAUAUAGAGGAAGCUUUUGGAGGGGUGGCCUAUUUUAAAUUGUUAUAAAUUCUUAAUUUAUACAGCUAUCUGCUUGAAAUUUGGCCAGUUGACAGUGCUUAGCCAUAGAAUAUUGGUGUUUGAGUAUGAAAUGUGAAAAUCUUAUAUUACAUAAUAUAAAUUAAUAAUAUAUAAUUUUCUUAUAUAUUUUUGACAUUUUUAAAAAAAACUACUUUCACUUUCAAUUUAAUGUUUGGAAAUAGUUCCAAAUGAUGGUAACUAAUGAAUGAAAGCCUCACUUUCAAUUCCAAAGUAUAAAUGGAGGGAUUUUUUUAACAUAGGAAGCAGACCCAGGAGGAACUGUCUGUUGAAGACCCCCCCCCCACCAAGCUGCCCACCAGAGGCCAAGCUGUACUUGGUGUUUGCCAACAUGCUGUAAUUUCCAGCCUGGUUGCUGUAGCCACAGAGGAAUUUUCAAGGACAAGAACCAGUGCUGGUAAAACUGUGGUCUCUGUGGUUUUCCAUACCGGCUCUCGGCAAGGAUUUUCAAGAAAGGAAUACCAUCUCCAAAUCAUGAUGUGCCAAUAAGCUCCAGUUAGCUGCGGCCUUUUCCCCUGGCGGUAGUCCUGCAAUCUGAAUCCAGGAGAUGCAGCUCUGAAUCCAAUAUUUCAGAAGAAUGAAGAUGUUAGUCAACUCUGUAGUGCUUGUUUGUGUGUAAAUGAU